rnacentral:lncRNA from 1 species
UUUUUUUUUUGUUUUGUUUUGUUUUUUUCCUGGAAGCCAGAUUGAGCAUUCUGUCCCUUUCUGCCUACAACAUAUUGUACUUAUUAUAAAACCAAAUCCCUCAAAAAAAAAAAAAAUCCCUCAAAAUGGUACACAUGAGCUUCCAUGCUAAGACUCCUGACUACAUUCUUGUUAUUUCUUCCAAGUAACUCACCUUUUUCCACUUAUUCAGGUUAUACUAGGUGUCUUUCUGUUCUUAGAACAUCUCAACUCUAUGACAUCUUAUGACUUUUAUUUUGGUCUCCCCAGCCUGGGAUAUUUAUCCUUUGAUUAGUCCCAUGAUUGACUCCAUAGUCCUACAGGUUUUAGAUCAAAUAUCUUAUCCUACAGAUGUUUUCUGAACACCUUAUCUAAAGAAGUUCCCCACCAAAGUUGAUUAAUAAUAGCAGGAUUUUGUCUUAUAUGAAUUUCAUUGAAUUUAACAAGCUUAAAGGUUGAACUUUGAAGAAUUUUCACCAUAUACAUGCUUCUCCUAGAAUCUAUCCCACUUCAAAGGAAUUCAAUGAGAAUAAUUUAAUAGAAAAUAAGGAAAUGUGUGUUCUUAAUACACAAUGCUAUACUAUUGACAAUAUUUCAUAGAUAUGUUGAUUAUUUCUUGCUUUUCUUUGAAAAUCAUACUGAACCAUUUCUGUCUGUGUAUAUUUUUAAAUUAUAAUCAAUAUUUACCAAUUUGCUCUUCUUAAUGUACAGGGAAUGGGAUAGUGUCUAUCUUCUUUUGCUUAAGAUAGAGAGAUUGUGUCAGUAUAAUAGUAUGUAUCAGCUGCAGUGAUAGUGCUAUGGUCUUUACAAAUGUAGUUAAAAUAUAAAAUUAUCUAAAUGUUUUAUAGAACUUGGUAUUUUCCUAACAAGCACCAUCUUUAGGGAAGGCAUAUUAUUUAGUAAAAAAAAAUUAAGAGAAUAUAAAAGGACAAAAAUGAGAAUUUUCAACUUCAAAUUAUUCCAAGUUCACUUUCUAUUUCAAGUUAUUCUAAAAUGCACACAUACAAAUCCCACUUUUCAAAUAAAAUGAUUUAUUUUAUUUUCUUUGAAUGUUUUGUUUCAACCUAGAAUUGAAGUUUUAUUUUGACGAGUUGCAUUUCAAAUAUUAGAAAAUAAAAUUUAUCAACUAGAGAGCAACUGCUACAUUUUGUUUAUUUUUUUUUAAUUUUUAUUUAUUUAUGAUAGUCACAGAGAGAGAGAGAGAGAGGCAGAGACACAGGCAGAGGGAGAAGCAGGCUCCAUGCACCGGGAGCCCGAUGUGGGAUUCGAUCCAGGGUCUCCAGGAUCGCGCCCUGGGCCAAAGGCAGGCGCCAAACCGCUGCGCCACCCAGGGAUCCCAACUGCUACAUUUUGACCUAAAUGUGGACCUAUGAUUAUAGACAUUACUGUAAACAAUUAAUUUCCGUACAAUAUUUUGUGCAUUUCAUAAUUCUUGUUUUGAAAGCGGUGCUUGACUUUUCUUUCCAAUUAAGAUAGAGAAACAGUGAUUGAAUUUAUGCUCCUGCCUCAAACAGUAGCAGUAACAACAACAACAAAAAGACAAAAUGUAUGGCACAGCAUUUUCAAGACACUGGACAUUAGGCACUGAAGUACAGUGAUCCCAGAGAGAUGAUAAAGUGAUCACUACAUAUGCAUUAGCUAGUUGUCUUGAGAAAGUUUCUAUGUCAUAACUCAGGGAAAAGAGCCUGGAUAGAACUUGGUAAAUUCUAUAAGAUCAGGAUAUGGAAGUAAGAGUUUAGGGAUCGCAAGACUUCCAGAAUUCACAGAAUAGAGUUGUAUACAGGAGAUAUAUAUAGAGAGAGAACCCAAGAAAUUUGCACUGGUAUGCAUUCAUCAAAGUACUGAUAAGGCAAAGCAUACAAGGAAACUACAUGAGAUGAGAGAAAGAAUCAUCUAAGAAAAUUAGAGGAAAGUGUUGCCUAUACUUGCACAGGAUUAAUAAUGCCCAUUUUUACCAGUCAUAUGAGAAAAUCUCAAAAUCCACGGGGCAUUAAGUAGGACAUUUAGAAGGAUUUGCUACAGUGAUAGGGAAUAAUUACAACUAGACUAAAUGCUACUCUGAUUCAUAUUAAUAACCAUUAAAAUCAAGAACCAAAAAGGCUAAAUUAUUUCUAAGUAACUUAAUUAGGUCCUAGAACAAAAUUUAAGAAUAUUUAUAAGUAAUUUUUUACUGUCUAGCACUGAAGGUAAUAUAAACAAUGUCUGUUUUCUUAUCAAAGAUAACCAGACAUAAAAAGAAGCACAAAAGCACUCCUUUAAUUAGGAGGGAAAAAGUCAACUGAACCCAACACAGAACCUACAUAGAUAUUAGAAUUAACAAAGAUUUAAAAACGUAUUGUGAAACCACAUGUUCAAAAUAAACUGGGUGAGGUUAAUGAAAAUGUAUAUAUAGCAAAAGAAAAGCAAUUGGACUUGAAGACAUAGCAAUAGAACUGUCCCAAAUGACACAUAAACAGAAAAGAUAAUCUGCUGACUAGGGCAUCAUCAAGAUCUGAGAUAACUUUCAAGUAGCAUUAUAUGUAUUUGCAGUCCCUAAAAGAAAUAAAGGGGAAAUAGAAAAAAUAGUUGAAAAAAUAAUGUCCCCAAAUUUUCCAAACCUGAUGACAGUUAUAAGCCACCAAAUUGAAGAUGUUUAAUAUCCCCAAACACAAGAAGUGUGAAGAAAACUACACCAGUGCUUCUCAUACUCAAACUGU